GCUUACUUCCUGAAUCCUAAAUUCUUUUUUAAUGAAAAUUAUAAAGAAGCACCUGAUGUUAUGCGAGGUUUGCUUGAUCUUGUUACCUUGUAUUGCAAGUGUAACAAUUUGGAUUCAGUUCAGGCAAUGAAAGAAAUACAUUUAUAUAGAGAUCGGAAAGAAAGUUUUGAUAGACAAGAAGUUAUUCCAGCUGCAUCUGAACUUAAGCCUGAUGAAUGGUGGAGGUUAUUCGGAGGCUCUGCUCCAUGUCUA